GAUGAACGCUAGCGGGAGGCCUAACACAUGCAAGCCGAGCGGUAUUGUUUCUUCGGAAAUGAGAGAGCGGCGUACGGGUGCGUAACACGUGCGCAACCUGCCUUUAUCUGGGGGAUAGCCUUUCGAAAGGAAGAUUAAUACUCCAUAAUAUAUUGAACGGCAUCGUUUAAUAUUGAAAGCUCCGGCGGAUAGAGAUGGGCACGCGCAAGAUUAGCUAGUUGGUGAGGUAACGGCUCACCAAGGCUAUGAUCUUUAGGGGGCCUGAGAGGGUGAUCCCCCACACUGGUACUGAGACACGGUCCAGACUCCUACGGGAGGCAGCAGUGAGGAAUAUUGGUCAAUGGGUGCAAGCCUGAACCAGCCAUCCCGCGUGAAGGACGACUGCCCUAUGGGUUGUAAACUUCUUUUGUAUAGGGAUAAACCUACCCUCGUGAGGGUAGCUGAAGGUACUAUACGAAUAAGCACCGGCUAACUCCGUG
rnacentral:rRNA from 1 species